GACGAACGCUGGCGGCGUGCCUAAUACAUGCAAGUUGAGCGAUGAAGCUUGGUGCUUGCCCCAAUUUGAAGAGCAGCGAACGGGUGAGUAACGCGUGGGGAAUCCGCCUUUGAGCGGGGGACAACAUUUGGAAACGAAUGCUAAUACCGCAUAACAACUUUAAACAUAAGUUUUAAGUUUGAAAGAUGCAAUUGCAUCACUCAAAGAUGAUCCCGCGUUGUAUUAGCUAGUUGGUGAGGUAAAGGCUCACCAAGGCGAUGAUACAUAGCCGACCUGAGAGGGUGAUCGGCCACAUUGGGACUGAGACACGGCCCAAACUCCUACGGGAGGCAGCAGUAGGGAAUCUUCGGAAAUGGACGAAAGUCUGACCGAGCAACGCCGCGGGAGGGAAGAAGGGUGUCGGAUCGUAAAACUCUGUUGGUAGAGAAGAACGUUGGUGAGAGUGGAAAGCUCAUCAAGUGACGGUAACUACACAGAAAGGGACGGCUAACUACGUG
rnacentral:rRNA from 1 species